UACAGAGGUGGCAAGCGUUGUUCGGAAUUACUGGGCGUAAAGGGCGCGUAGGCGGCCUACUAAGUCAGACGUGAAAUCCCCCGGCUUAACCUGGGAACUGCGUCUGAUACUGGAUGGCUGGAGUUUGGGAGAGGGAUGCGGAAUUCCAGGUGUAGCGGUGAAAUGCGUAGAUAUCUGGAGGAACACCGGUGGCGAAGGCGGCAUCCUGGACCAACACUGACGCUGAGGAGCGAAAGCCAGGGGAGCAAACGGG
rnacentral:rRNA from 1 species